AACCCCGUGGCGCAAUGGUAGCGCGUCUGAUUCCAACUCAGAAAGUUGCGUGUUCGAGUCACGCCGGGGUCA